rnacentral:rRNA from 1 species
CAUACGGGAGGCAGCAGUGAGGAAUAUUGGUCAAUGGGCGCGAGCCUGAACCAGCCAAGUAGCGUGAAGGAUGACUGCCCUACGGGUUGUAAACUUCUUUUAUAAAGGAAUAAAGUGCGUGAGAGUAACUGUUCACGUUUCGACGGUAUCUAACCAGAAAGCCACGGCUAACUACGUGCCAGCAGCCGCGGUAAUACGUAGGUGGCAAGCGUUAUCCGGAUUUAUUGGGUUUAAAGGGUGCGUAGGCGGAAUGCCAAGUCAGCGGUAAAAUCGCGGGGCUCAACCUCGCUCCGCCGUUGAAACUGGCGUUCUUGAGUGGGCGAGAAGUAUGCGGAAUGCGUGGUGUAGCGGUGAAAUGCAUAGAUAUCACGCAGAACUCCGAUUGCGAAGGCAGCAUACCGGCGCCCAACUGACGCUGAAGCACGAAAGCGUGGGUAUCGAACAGGAUUAGAUACCCCGGUAGUC